rnacentral:rRNA from 1 species
UUUUCAGCAGCCGCGGUAAUACGUAGGGUGCGAGCGUUAAUCGGAAUUACUGGGCGUAAAGCGUGCGCAGGCGGUUGAUUAAGUCUGAUGUGAAAGCCCCGGGCUCAACCUGGGAAUGGCAUUGGAAACUGGUCGGCUUGAGUAUGGCAGAGGGGGGUGGAAUUCCGCGUGUAGCAGUGAAAUGCGUAGAGAUGCGGAGGAACACCGAUGGCGAAGGCAGCCCCCUGGGCCAAUACUGACGCUCAGGCACGAAAGCGUGGGGAGCAAACAGGAUUAGAAACCCGAGUAGUCC